UAUAGAAGUGUGCUGCAUCAGAAAGUUUAGUGCGGAGCUAAUGAGUGUUCUCCAAAGUUUAUUUCAAGUGUGUGCGUGCAGCUAGAAAACCACACAUACCCACAUAUCUACAGUGGAGAAUAAAAAUUAAAGAAGAAACAUCAGAGUCAUUGCAUUCUAACCGGAUGUGCCAUAGUGAUUGCAAACCUUUACUAACCAGCCCCAAAUAAAUACCUCAAAACAGAGACCCUCGAGCAAGAACUGAACCCCAACUGUUCCUCAGCGCUGCAGGUCAGACUGAAGAAGCAAUGCCUGCACAGAAUAAAGCCCAGUCUGGACCGGUUCUGUUCAGUUGUGUUACACAUUCAUUAAUCUGGUGUUUGAUGACAGAGAGAUUAUAUGAAGCCUUG